AUUGAACGCUGGCGGCAGGCCUAACACAUGCAAGUCGAACGAGUGGCGGACGGGUGAGUAAUGUCUGGGAAACUGCCUGACGGAGGGGGAUAACUACUGGAAACGGUAGCUAAUACCGCAUACCAUCAGAUGUGCCCAGAUGGGAUGAGCGAGUUGGUGGGGUAACGGCUCACCAAGGCGACGAUCCCUAACAGGUCUGAGAGGCUGACCAGCCACACUGGAACUGAGACACGGUCCAGACUCCUACGGUAGGCAGCAGUGGGGAAUAUUGCACAAGGGGCGCAAGCCUGAUGCAGCCAUGCCGCGUGUAUGAAGAAGGCCUUCGGGUUGUAAAGUACUUUCAGCGGUGAGGCGUUACCCGCAGAGGAAGCACCGGCUAACUCCGUGCCAGCAGCCGCGGUAAUUC
rnacentral:rRNA from 1 species